AUUGAACGCUGGCGGCAGGCCUAACACAUGCAAGUCGAGCGAAAGAGUGUGCUUGCACACUCGAAAGCGGCGGACGGGUGAGUAAUGCGUGGGAAUCUGCCUGUAGAUGGGGGAUAGCCCGGAGAAAUCCGGAUUAAUACCGCAUAAUACCUGAGGGUUAAAGUGGAGGAUCGCAAGACUUCACGUCUACAGAUGAGCCCACGUCAGAUUAGCUAGUUGGUAGGGUAAAGGCCUACCAAGGCGACGAUCUGUAGCUGGCCUGAGAGGGUGGCCAGCCACACUGGAACUGAGACACGGUCCAGACUCCUACGGGAGGCAGCAGUGGGGAAUAUUGGACAAUGGGCGCAAGCCUGAUCCAGCCAUGCCGCGUGUGUGAAGAAGGCCUUCGGGUUGUAAAGCACUUUAAGUUGGGAGGAAGGUUCGAUGGCUAAUAUCCAUCGGAAUUGACGUUACCAACAGAAUAAGCACCGGCUAAUUCCGUGCCAGCAGCCGCAGUAA
rnacentral:rRNA from 1 species